UACGAAGGGGGCUAGCGUUGUUCGGAAUUACUGGGCGUAAAGCGCGCGCAGGCGGUCUUCCAAGUCAGUGGUGAAAGCCCGGAGCUCAACUCCGGAAUUGCCAUUGAAACUGUUAGACUUGAGGAUGAGAGAGGUGAGUGGAAUUCCCAGUGUAGAGGUGAAAUUCGUAGAUAUCUGGAGGAACACCGGCGGCGAAGGCGGCUCACUGGCCAUAUACUGACGCUGAAGCACGAAAGCGUGGGGAUCAAACAGG
rnacentral:rRNA from 1 species